CAAUAGCGUAUAUUAAAGUUGUUGCAGUUAAAAAGCUCGUAGUUGAAUUUUUGGUAGGAGGGACCUAUCCUGUUGGUGAAUGCCGAUAGUUUGAUUAGUGUUUCUUUGGCCAGUUUUUUGGUUAGUUGAUAGCCAAUCCUUCACUGUAAACAAAAUAAGGUGUUUCAAGCAAGACGUAAUGUUUGGGAUAUAAUAGUAUGGAAUGAUAAGAUAGGACUGUUGUGCUAGUUUGUUGGUUUGUACAUGAUAGUAAUGAUGAAUAGGGACAAUUGGGGGUACUCGCACUUCUAAGUCAGAGGUGAAAUUCUUGGAUUUUAGAAUGGCGAACAACUGCGAAGGCAUUUACCAAGGAUGUUUUCAUUGA
rnacentral:rRNA from 1 species